rnacentral:lncRNA from 1 species
GAAAGUCGAACUGAUUAUCAUUUCCCCCUUCAUCUGUUUUGUCAAGGCUCCUUCUCUUGACAUUGAUCCUCUCGUAGAGGAAUUCGUCGAAUUUCUCCAACGCUUUCCUGUACUUCCUCUCUUCUCCAAUUCCGGCCCAUCUCUGAAAUUUCCACCAGAAAUCCGGCAUGAGGUAGCGGUAAACCGCUGCCUCAUCGAUGUCUUCGUACGCCUUGGCGUACAAGACAUCGGGGAGUAGUUCGACAGUGAGAUAUUUUGGAUCGUAUCCGAGCACCAUACUGCAAAUGCUGUCGAACAUGAACCUCUUGUACACAUCCUGCAUGUCUAGCUCCCACAUAGAGUCCAAGACCGGGAACAAGCCAGAGUUAAGCUUUUCGAGGAGGGAAGUGCUAAGAAGGUGUUCGAAUGGGGCAGAGUUGAAAAUAGAGUGGAGGAUCCGGCGCUGGGAGAGGCCAGAUUCUCCGUCCUCGACGAAAAUGCCUUCCCCAAAGGUUUCGAGUUUGUCUUUGAACUCGGGGCUUUGGGGAAAUUGGAGUGGCGUUUGUUGAAAAUAUGGUCUAGGUUUUUUGGAUCGCAGGUGAGGACUAUAUCUGUGGUGUGUGCUGUGCCGCCGGAGGACUUGAGGCGGCCGGUGAUGGUGCGGUGAAGCUGAGAUGGGCGGCGGAGGAUGUCGAAGAUAAGCUUAAAGGCUUUGUAGUUUCCGCGGCCGAUGAGGUAUGUCAGAGUUGUUGCCAGGAGUGGGAGGAGUAGGAUGAGAACUGCUAGUGCUAUUGCCGCCAUUGUUGGUUGAGGUUUUGUCGACUGUUGAGUAUGGAAGAGAAGUGAGAAAUUAUAUAGUUGUAAUGUAGGCUAGUUGUACGGAAUAGGGUUGAAAUUUUGUUACAUUUUAACUAAUUUAAUUUAAAGACUUAUAUUAAAAGGUUAUUCAAUUGUAAUCAUAAAUCAUAAUUAUAAUUGCCUUCAUGUUCCACAUAAUCAUUUCCUUCAUGUUAAUUUCCACAUGAUCAUUUACUCUACUUGUCCCUCCUACAACUGCAAAGGUUGGUGGCAUCGACAAUGAAUCUUAGAGCUACAUUAUAAACAAGUUAUAGUCUCACAACACAUUACGGCCUCAACAAUCUUUUGCGAUAAAAAACUCAUGAGUUUCGAGAAAAAGAAAACUCCUAAAUGAGUCCAACACUCGGCCACCGAUAUUAAAAGCGCACUAGGGAAGGGCAAAUGGAUAUUAGAGCAUCGAGAAUGUCUAUUGCAAUGACACUUAUUAGCACCGAAUACUUCACACUAUUAGUCUUCCACACCAUCCUAAUAUAUCGAACAUAGGUAGUGAUUUCAUAUCAUAUGUCUCACAGUUACCUUUCAAAUAUGAAUCUAGUUCAGUUCCACACUCUUUCUACUCGGUCGUAUUAUAUUCACACUCGAAGUCAUUGUCGUCUUCUGACAUGUUUGGAACAUUAGAACUAGUGGACGUUUGAUUGAAUGGUUUGUUCUCAUGGACCAUGAACUAGCAUAUGUACAUCAUUUGGCCUAGAUGUUUAUUUAUCCUAUUAAGACAUUAAAUCACCUCUCUUUUCGACACUCUAACUUUCAAACUAUCUUUCAUAAACAUCACAAUGGAAACCGCAGGCGCGACAUGAUGCCCUUCAACCAACUCCACCUUAUAGUUAUAAAGCAAAGCACUCGCCGCUUGCUUGGCAUACAAGAAAGCAAUCUUCUUCCCCAAGCAAGAUCUCGGCCCGGCAGCAAACGUCAUGAACUUGUACGACGGGACGUAAACAAUCUUGUUCCCUUCGGAGUUGAUCCAUCGCUCCGGCUUGAACUCCAUCCAAUCCUCCCCCCAAAUCUCCUCCAUCCUUCCCAUCGAAUAUAUCGAAAAGAGAACCAUCCUGUUCUUCCUAACGACAUGCCCGGUAGGUAACGUAUCCUCCUCUGUCGCCGUCCUGUGAUCAAACGGCACAGGCGGGUACAGCCCGCGGGCCUCACAAACCGCACCGUGUAGGUACACUAGCUUGUUCAACUCCUCCUCGCUGAGAAACUAGCCGUCCGAUGCUCAAAUGCGAGUGGCGGGUAAAGCCUUAGCGCCUCGCACACGGUGGCAUGCAAGUAAACCAUCUGGUUAAGCUCUUCAUCGCUGAAGAGCCUCCAAUUGUUGCAGUUUCUGCCAAUAUUCACACCUAUUUCGUCGAGGAUUUUUGCCUCGACGUUGGGGUGUGAAACAAUGAGCCAGAGCAGCCAGGAUAGAUUGAUAGAGACUGUGUCUCUCCCCGCUGCGAUCAUGUUGAACGCCAUAUCUCUCAUGAGCUUGUCAGACAUCCCGACUCUACCGGUUUCUCGUCCCGACUCGCCCUGUUCUCGACCUUCCACCAUGAAAAAUGUUAGAAAGUCGAACUGAUUAUCAUUUCCCCCUUCAUCUGUUUUGUCAAGGCUCCUUCUCUUGACAUUGAUCCUCUCGUAGAGGAAUUCGUCGAAUUUCUCCAACGCUUUCCUGUACUUCCUCUCUUCUCCAAUUCCGGCCCAUCUCUGAAAUUUCCACCAGAAAUCCGGCAUGAGGUAGCGGUAAACCGCCGCCUCAUCGAUGUCUUCGUACGCCUUGGCGUACAAGACAUCGGGGAGUAGUUCGACAGUGAGAUAUUUUGGAUCGUAUCCGAGCACCAUACUGCAAAUGCUGUCGAACAUGAACCUCUUGUACACAUCCUGCAUGUCUAGCUCCCACAUAGAGUCCAAGACCGGGAACAAGCCAGAGUUAAGCUUUUCGAGGAGGGAAGUGCUAAGAAGGUGUUCGAAUGGGGCAGAGUUGAAAAUAGAGUGGAGGAUCCGGCGCUGGGAGAGGCCAGAUUCUCCGUCCUCGACGAAAAUGCCUUCCCCAAAGGUUUCGAGUUUGUCUUUGAACUCGGGGCUUUGGGGAAAUUGGAGUGGCGUUUGUUGAAAAUAUGGUCUAGGUUUUUUGGAUCGCAGGUGAGGACUAUAUCUGUGGUGUGUGCUGUGCCGCCGGAGGACUUGAGGCGGCCGGUGAUGGUGCGGUGAAGCUGAGAUGGGCGGCGGAGGAUGUCGAAGAUAAGCUUAAAGGCUUUGUAGUUUCCGCGGCCGAUGAGGUAUGUCAGAGUUGUUGCCAGGAGUGGGAGGAGUAGGAUGAGAACUGCUAGUGCUAUUGCCGCCAUUGUUGGUUGAGGUUUUGUCGACUGUUGAGUAUGGAAGAGAAGUGAGAAAUUAUAUAGUUGUAAUGUAGGCUAGUUGUACGGAAUAGGGUUGAAAUUUU